CAAGUCGAACGCGAAAGCCCCGCAAGGGGUAAGUAGAGUGGCAAACGGGUGAGUAACACGUGGGUGACCUACCUUCGAGUGGGGGAUAACGUCCCGAAAGGGACGCUAAUACCGCAUGACAUCCUGCGUUUGGAAACGCGGAGAUCAAAGCCGGGGAUCGCAAGACCUGGCGCUUGAAGAGGGGCCCGCGCCUGAUUAGCUAGUUGGUGGGGUAACGGCUCACCAAGGCAACGAUCAGUAUCCGGCCUGAGAGGGCGGACGGACACACUGGGACUGAGACACGGCCCAGACUCCUACGGGAGGCAGCAGUGGGGAAUUGUUCGCAAUGGGCGCAAGCCUGACGACGCAACGCCGCGUGGAGGACGAAGAUCUUCGGGUCGUAAACUCCUGUCGAGCGGGAAGAACGCUUCCCGGAUGAAUAAUCCGGGGAAUUGACGGUACCGCUAAAGGAAGCCCCGGCUAACUCCGUGCCAGCAGCCGCGGUAAUACGGGGGGGGCAAGCGUUGUUCGGAAUUACUGGGCGUAAAGGGCUCGUAGGCGGCCAACUAAGUCGGAUGUGAAAUCCCCAGGCUUAACCUGGGAACUGCAUCCGAUACUGGAUGGCUUGAAUCCGGGAGAGGGAUGCAGAAUUCCAGGUGUAGCGGUGAAAUGCGUAGAUAUCUGGAGGAAUACCGGUGGCGAAGGCGGCAUCCUGGACCGGCAUUGACGCUGAUGAGCGAAAGCUAGGGGAGCAAACGGGAUUAGAUACCCCGGUAGUCCUAGCCCUAAACGAUGAAUGCUUGGUGUGGCGGGUAUCGAUCCCUGCCGUGCCGAAGCUAACGCAUUAAGCAUUCCGCCUGGGGAGUACGGUCCCCA
rnacentral:rRNA from 1 species